rnacentral:rRNA from 1 species
GAGGAAAGCUGGAGGCGUGCCUAAUACAUGCAAGUCGAGCGAACAGAUGAGGAGCUUGCUCCUCUGACGUUAGCGGCGGACGGGUGAGUAACACGUGGAUAACCUACCUAUAAGACUGGGAUAACUUCGGGAAACCGGAGCUAAUACCGGAUAAUAUAUUGAACCGCAUGGUUCAAUAGUGAAAGACGGUUUUGCUGUCACUUAUAGAUGGAUCCGCGCCGCAUUAGCUAGUUGGUAAGGUAACGGCUUACCAAGGCAACGAUGCGUAGCCGACCUGAGAGGGUGAUCGGCCACACUGGAACUGAGACACGGUCCAGACGCCUACGGGAGGCAGCAGUAGGGAAUCUUCCGCAAUGGGCGAAAGCCAGACGGAGCAACGCCGCGUGAGGGAUGAAGGUCUUCGGAUCGUAAAACUCGGUUAUUGGGGAAGAACAAAUGUGUAAGUAACUAUGCACGUCUUGACGGUACCUAAUCAGAAAGCCACGGCUAACUACGUG